GCACGCACACGGUCACCAGCUCCGACUUCUCCUUGGCGUGCAGGCGGGGAGGUAUUUGGCUGGGGGGAACAAAACGGAGAGACGGGUCUGUGGCCUCCUCCGCCCGCCGGACCUCCCCAGGCCUCGUCCCUCCUUCUGCCUCCUCCCAGCCCGCCUCCUCUCCGCUGCCAGAGCCGCGGUCCCAAAGCCCGAUCCCGCGAGCCACCUCGGAGCUCAGCUCCUGCCUUCCUGGCCAUGGCCUGGCCUCCGCGGGUCAUCGAUGAGAAAAAUGAGGCUAGAGAUGAGUGCCAUGACUUGCCCAGGGUCAUAGUGAAAAAGCGCCUUGCUGGAUGGAAGAGAACUGAGAUCAAGGACACCCACACUGAAAUUCUGUCUCCUGUAUUUACUAACUGUGUAACUAUAGGGAAGUCAUGGAAAUUCUCUGGGCCUCAGGUUCUUCCUCUGUGAAAUAGGGAUAGUGAUAUAUAAUAAAUGCUUCUUGAUUUGA